AGGGUUCCACAACUUUUCAACAAAAAACAUCAUGAACUAUGGGAAUCUAACGUGAUAGACCGAGGGUGGGCAAAACAGCAAGUUUCAACUGGUCUGGCAGUGUACCUGGGACAACGCCCUGCUGGAGAACAAUAAACAGGAAACGGGGAGGGGAAGAGACACAUCUUCCCAUGGACUCAAAUGGGCAGAAACAGUCUUUUAGAAGCCAAUAAGCCCCAAAUAGUCUUUUUUAAAUGGCAAUACACCCCAGGGCCAUAGUCAUGAGGAAGGAGGCUGACAAUCAGGCUCCUCCAACAGCCAGGGGCAAAGGGCAGUUGGUCAUAUAAAAAUCCAGUGGCAAAAGGCAUUUUGUCACAAAGUCUUACAAGAACCUAUUCAAUUACC